UCAUUGCAUAAUAUUCAUUACAUGAAGAGAGUUUCUCUAAAUGAAAAAUGUUUAGGACAUUCAGGAGAGGAAGAACCAAUUAAGGAAUGAUCUCCACAGCAGAGACCUCCAGGCUCUUGUGGGUGCAGGGCACAGUUCCAGUGUAAAAGUCCGCAGGGACAGAAUGAGGGUCCCCACUGGUGUGCCUCAGGCUCCUUCCAGCACAGUGUUCCUUGAAGCGGGUAGUGUCGCAGGCUUGCAGAAAGGCUGGGGUUCCUCUCGUUUCCGGGUUCCUUCCUGAUGGAACCCUGGGUUUUCAGCAGCUUCCGGGGGCGGCCUGAACUGCAGAGGGCGCCAUGGGCUUGUGUCCUUCCACCUCCGCAGGCGCUGGCAUCUCCAGGCUGCAUCAGGCAGCUUUGGACUUCGCCGUCGGUAGCAUUUGCGUCUUCUUGAGGUGACUGGAGCCCGUCUGUGGUUUCAGCCUUUGAUUCCUCGACAUGGGAGUCUCGAGGCCGUUUUUGGCCCCUCUCAUCUCCGGGAAGGGCUCCGUGCCCGGUGGAGGCGCGG
rnacentral:lncRNA from 1 species